CUCGCCUGGCCCCAAUCACCAACCUGAGUGAGAACGGCAGGAAGCUGCUCCAGAAAAUGUCAGGAGUGACGCCACAGGAAAGGAAGGUCAAAAGGAAAAAGACCAAGGGAAAAAAGCAAGUGAAGAAAGAGAAGGCCAGUAAGAUGCAGCAGGUGGAAAAUGUUGGAGAACGUAAGGAGGACAAGAAAGAGGAAAAGAAGAGUCUGAGGAAGAGGUUUCUCCAGUGGCUGCUGCCCAAACUGAGAUGUUCGAAAAAAUAAUGGCCAACUA